AGCGAACGCUGGCGGCAGGCCUAACACAUGCAAGUCGAACGAACCCUUCGGGGUUAGUGGCGGACGGGUGAGUAACACGUGGGAAUGUGCCUUUAGGUUCGGAAUAACUCAGGGAAACUUGUGCUAAUACCGAAUGUGCCCUUCGGGGGAAAGAUUUAUCGCCUUUAGAGCGGCCCGCGUCUGAUUAGCUAGUUGGUGAGGUAAUGGCUCACCAAGGCUACGAUCAGUAGCUGGUCUGAGAGGAUGACCAGCCACAUUGGGACUGAGACACGGCCCAAACCCCUACGGGAGGCAGCAGUGGGGGAUCUUGCGCAAUGGGCGAAAGCCUGACGCAGCCAUGCCGCGUGGAUGAUGAAGGUCUUAGGAUUGUAAAAUCCUUUCACCGGUGAAGAUAAUGACUGUAGCCGGAGAAGAAGCCCCGGCUAACUUCGUGCCAGCCGCCGCCGUAACAC
rnacentral:rRNA from 1 species